rnacentral:piRNA from 1 species
GGGAAGGAAAAGUGUCAGAAAUAGGG